rnacentral:rRNA from 1 species
AGGAUGAACGCUAGCUACAGGCUUAACACAUGCAAGUCGAGGGGCAGCAUGAAGUUGCUGCAAACUUUGAUGGCGACCGGCGCACGGGUGAGUAACGCGUAUCCAACCUUCCCUAUACUAGAGGAUAGCCCGGCGAAAGUCGGAUUAAUACUCUAUGUUCUUCGUAGAAGACAUCUGAAAUGAAGCAAAGGUUUACCGGUAUAGGAUGGGGAUGCGUCUGAUUAGGUUGUUGGCGGGGUAACGGCCCACCAAGCCCACGAUCAGUAGGGGUUCUGAGAGGAAGGUCCCCCACAUUGGAACUGAGACACGGUCCAAACUCCUACGGGAGGCAGCAGUGAGGAAUAUUGGUCAAUGGACGAGAGUCUGAACCAGCCAAGUAAGCGUGCAGGAUGACGGCCCUAUGGGUUGUAAACUGCUUUUAUACAGGGAUAAAGUGACGUACGUGUACGUUUUUGUAGGUACUGUAUGAAUAAGGACCGGCUAAUUCCGUGCCAGCCGCGGC